AACCAUACCUCUAGGUCAUCUGUGUAUAUAAAUCAGAACAGAGUUCCGCCAAGUUACACAAUUCCGGAAUACUCAUCUCUCCCGCGCUCCUGUGGACAGCUGGUGGAAAAUCAGAAAUAUCCAUAACAGAGUAUCACCCCCUGGGUUCAUCAGGAGAUGCGCGUGCUUGUGAUUCUUCUGGUCGUCUGUGUGAUUGGCGCCAACGUUGAGAGUAAAUCGUUGAAGAAAAGAUCCGCAAGCUUGGGAAAUGGGGAAGAUGGAGACGCACGUUAUGGUGAUGACACUCUAAGUAACAAAAACAACGGGAACAGGAAGGGCGGAAAUGGAAAUAACGACGAUCAAGAAUAUAACAAUAACGGCAAUGGCGGAAAUGGAAAAUAUAACAAUAACGGCAAUGGCGGAAAUGGAAAUAACGACGAUCAAGAAUAUAACAAUAACGGCAAUGGCGGAAAUGGAAAAUAUAACAAUAACGGCAAUGGCGGAAAUGGAAAAUAUAACAAUAACGGCAAUGGCGGAAAUGGAAAUAACGACGAUCAAGAAUAAAACAAUAACGGCAAUGGCGGAAACGGAAAAUAUAACAAUAACGGCAAUGGCGGAAAUGGAAAUAACGACGAUCAAGAAUAUAACAAUAACGGCAAUGGCGGAAAUGGAAAAUAUAACAAUAACGGCAAUGGCGGAAAUGGAAAUAACGACGAUCAAGAAUAUAACAAUAACGGCAAUGGCGGAAAUGGAAAAUAUAACAAUAACGGCAAUGGCGGAAAUGGAAAUAACGACGAUCAAGAAUAUAACAAUAACGGCAAUGGCGGAAACGGAAAAUAUAACAAUAACGGCAAUGGCGGAAAUGGAAAUAACGACGAUCAAGAAUAUAACAAUAACGGCAAUGGCGGAAAUGGAAAAUAUAACAAUAACGGCAAUGGCGGAAAUGGAAAUAACGACGAAUAUGACAAUAACGGAAAUAACAAUGAUGGAUAAAAAAAAUAAAGGAGAUACAUUACGGUAUUGGCACUGGUGACAAUGUAUGAAUAACUAUAUGAAAUUCAUUUAUGUAAACUUCAUGUCUUUGAUAAACAAUAUUCUAUAGGGGUGAGAAUGUUCAAUACUAUCCGUGAAUGCACACAAUGUCUCAUUUUAUGCUGGAUAUCAUAUAUUUAUUAGAUAUAUACAUUUAUAAUACAGAAAUAGAUGUUGGU